rnacentral:rRNA from 1 species
ACUUAAAUUGAAGAGUUUGAUCAUGGCUCAGAUUGAACGCUGGCGGCAGGCCUAACACAUGCAAGUCGAGCGGUAGCACAGAGAGCUUGCUCUCGGGUGACGAGCGGCGGACGGGUGAGUAAUGUCUGGGAAACUGCCUGAUGGAGGGGGAUAACUACUGGAAACGGUAGCUAAUACCGCAUAAYGUCGCAAGACCAAAGUGGGGGACCUUCGGGCCUCAUGCCAUCAGAUGUGCCCAGAUGGGAUUAGCUWGUAGGUGGGGUAACGGCUCACCUAGGCGACGAUCCCUAGCUGGUCUGAGAGGAUGACCAGCCACACUGGAACUGAGACACGGUCCAGACUCCUACGGGAGGCAGCAGUGGGGAAUAUUGCACAAUGGGCGCAAGCCUGAUGCAGCCAUGCCGCGUGUGUGAAGAAGGCCUUCGGGUUGUAAAGCACUUUCAGCGGGGAGGAAGGCGWUAAGGUUAAUAACCUUGGCGAUUGAC